UAGGGAAUCUUCGGCAAUGGACGAAAGUCUGACCGAGCAACGCCGCGUGAGUGAAGAAGGUUUUCGGAUCGUAAAACUCUGUUGUUAGAGAAGAACGACGAGGAGAGUGGAAAGCUCUUGUGUGACGGUAUCUAACCAGAAAGGGACGGCUAACUACGUGCUAG
rnacentral:rRNA from 1 species